rnacentral:rRNA from 1 species
CCUACGGGUGGCUGCAGUGAGGAAUAUUGGUCAAUGGGCUUACGCCUGAACCAGCCAAGUCGCGUGAGGGAAGACUGCCCUAUGGGUUGUAAACCUCUUUUGUCAGGGAGCAACGCCGGCUACGUGUAGCCGGACUGAGAGUACCUGAAGAAAAAGCAUCGGCUAACUCCGUGCCAGCAGCCGCGGUAAUACGGAGGAUGCGAGCGUUAUCGGGAUUGAUUGGGUUAAAAGGGUGCGUAGGCGGAAUGCCAAGUCAGCGGUAAAAUCGCGGGGCGAAACCGCGCUCCGCAGUUGAAACUGGAGUUCUUGAGUGCGGGAGAGGUGUGGGGAAUGCGUGGUGUAGCGGUGAAAUGCAUAGAUAGAACGAAGAAC